UACGUAGGGUGCGAGCGUUGUCCGGAAUUAUUGGGCGUAAAGAGCUCGUAGGCGGCUUGUCGCGUCGGAUGUGAAAGCCCGGGGCUUAACUCCGGGACUGCAUUCGAUACGGGCAGGCUAGAGUUCGGUAGGGGAGAUCGGAAUUCCUGGUGUAGCGGUGAAAUGCGCAGAGAUCAGGAGGAACACCGGUGGCGAAGGCGGAUCUCUGGGCCGAUACUGACGCUGAGGAGCGAAAGCGUGGGGAGCGAACAGG
rnacentral:rRNA from 1 species